rnacentral:rRNA from 1 species
UGAACCUGCGGAAGGAUCAUUAUUGAAUAACUAUGGUGGGUUGUCGCUGGCUUCUUGAAAGCAUGUGCACACCUGCUGUCUUUAUCUAUCCCAUUGUGCACCAUUUGUAGUCUUGGGGGGAGAGCAGUCAAUCUCCCAAGUGUGAGCUUUUGAGCCCCUUCCAAGUCUAUGUCUUUACCACAGACGUUGUAGUAUGUCACAGAAUGUAAUCAUUGGGCCUUUGUGCCUAUAGAACUCUAUACAACUUUCAGCAACGGAUCUCUUGGCUCUCGCAUCGAUGAAGAACGCAGCGAAAUGCGAUAAGUAAUGUGAAUUGCAGAAUUCAGUGAAUCAUCGAAUCUUUGAACGCACCUUGCGCUUCUUGGUAUUCCGAGGAGCAUGCCUGUUUGAGUGUCAUUAAAUUCUCAAUCCCUUCCACUUCUUUUUGUAAGCUGGCUGUGGCUUGGAUAUUGGGGGUUUCUGCGGGCCUUGUUAUGUUGAGGUCAGCUCCCCUGAAAUACAUUAGCAGAACUGUUUGCGGUCUGUCACUGGUGUGAUAAUUAUCUGCACCAAGGCUGCUUUCUGUCUUGUUCAGCUUCUAACUGUCUUUUUGGACAACUAUUGAACAUUUGACCUCAAAUCAGGUAGGACUACCCG